CGUGGCUUCCACGGGACUUAGUGCAGAAGCAGCCUGGACCAAGGCUUGGAGCUCAGCUGGUCCUGCGGGGCAUUUGCCAGGGGCCUGCCCUGGCGCCUACAGAUGGGGCAGAGGAUGAGCGGGGUGCCCGGAACCUGGUGAGCCAUGGCAGGCUGUAGCCACUGUGAAAAGCGGCCCAGGCUGCUGACUCUGGGCUGGGCGUUAUCUACACUGUGAGCAUCAGGGGCUUGUGCAGUCUUUCCACGGGCAACUCUGAAAAUAACAGUGUUUUUCUUUAUUCCCUUUAAUCCCCUUUUAAAAACUGUGUGGAGUGCUCGUGCUCACUUCGGCAGCACAUAUACUAAAAAUUGUGUGGAAAUGUAUACAGUGCAACCCUGAGCAUUUUAGCCACCUGUAAGUGUGCGAUUCAGUGAUCAGUAGACUCACAUGUAUGUGUAUCUUUCCCAUCCAUUUAGAAAAGAUCUGUAUUUAUGUCCAGACAGAGUUUGUCUUUCUAAAUACCAAGAAGAUUUUUAUCUUAAGGAAGCAGACUGCUCCCAGUGCGUGAGAUUUUAUGAAUUCUCACAGUUUACAAAUACAGGAGAGGAACCCACCGAGGGCAGGUGCUGGGGGUUGAGCGGCUGUGUGAGCCAGACCCGGAGCGCCUCUGCCCCGGCACGGUCUCUCCUCCCUGGCCCUCCGUUCUCCCCUGGUUUCCGCAGUCCUGGGAGCAGGACCAUGGGUGACUGCUGAGGCAGAGCCUCCAGGCCACGCCUGCAGGACUGAAGCUGCCCAGUGAACAACUGUGAUGAAUCUCUGCUCUUGUCUGCUGUAGGUGAUGGGGGGCCGAGGCAAAAUGAGAGCUGAAGCUGAAGGCUUUCUUUUCUUCACCACACAUCAUCGUUUUCAGCUUUGAGGCACGAGGUCUAUUUUAGAGAGCAAGUAACAUUUCACAAACUUUGCAGCCGCAAAGCAGAAACUCAACUGGUCACUUGCGCCGCUGGGCUCUGGGCUGGACACCAAGAGGCGCAGCAGGUUCUGCUUUCGGUCUUGGCAUGGCCUCUGGGCAAGUUGGUGGCUUCUCCGAAACUCAGACCCUUCCCUCAUUGGCACCUGGAAGGAGGGGACUUGACGCUGGCCUUGAUCUAGGAAGGGGAGAUGUCUGAUGGUCACAUCUGCCAAAAGAACCCAGCGCUGCUCUCCACGCAGGGCCAGCCAAAGCCUCACUUUUCUGUUUAGCGUGGGAAGAAUGACACACUCCUCCUGAUGCAAGAAUUUGGCCCAGACCUGCUGGCCUGUGAAGCGGUCAGCACUGAAGUCUCUGAGCACCUUCUGGGAGGGGCCGGGCUGGAACACAGGGCGCUGUGUAAGACCAGGCUGGCAGAAGGUCUGACCCAGGUCACAGCUGGGAGCUGGGAGCUUUACCCGGCACAUAUUUCCCAUCCCCUUCUCCCUGGCACCCAGACCCAGGUACUUUCCAGACAGCCAUGGUUCACCUGGGCUGUUCCCAGGCACAGCCCUGACCCUAGGUCUCUCCCGUGAGCUCAUCUCUGCAAAUGUGUAAAUGCAGAUGGCCACGGGUAUCAUCCCUCUCUCUCUUCGAAGAUGCUGUGUGUGUUAGCUUUCUGGUGCUGGGACAAAAUACUUGAGAAAAACAACUUAUUAGGAGAAAAAAUUGUUUUGGCUCAUAGUUUCUGAGGUUUCAGUCCAUGGCCACUUGGCCCCAUGGCCUGGGGCCUGUCGCAGCAGAGCAUGUCAUGGUGCAGAGCAUAGCAGAAGAAACUGCUCACCUCAUAGCGCCUGGCAAGGGAGAGAAAAAGAAGGAAGAAGGGCUGGGGCCCGGUACGUCCCUCAGGACACACCCCCAGUGCCUGACUUCCUCCAGACUCGGGCCCUGGGCAGCUGGCGAGGACGCAGAGCUGAUGGCAACGAGAGUGAGCCGUUGUGAUGCCAACUGCCACGAGGCCUCAUCAGAGGCUAAACCAGUGGGGCUGCCUCAUCUUAGACUUUCAGUCUCCAAGAAAUUCCAGGUUAUAGACUUUUAACUAAUAACCCUCACCAAACAACCAGCUGGCUUUGGAAGCUUCCCCCAAAGAAAACGCAGAGGAUAAGAAGAGAACACAAAGAUGCUGGAGUGGAUUCUUCAGCUUCUAGUAUGAACUAGUUGUAAUUUUUGUUAGAAGUAAAAACAGUACAAUCAGAUCCGAAAAGAAGUCAGCCAAAACUAUGUGAAUGUUUUGAGAAGAUUAUGUGAGUCAUAGCUAUAUAGCCAUUUUGUUCAUCAUGACCUUAAACUAUGUGUAUAUUGUACCUUGAGAUAUAAGAGAACAAGAAUGUCACUGUAGGCAAGGCGAUAAAAUAUGACCUAUGGAGAAUGUAAAGACACAUCGCAGCAUUUCCCCACCAAAGUUUAAAGUUUUGCAACAUUUCAGCACUUACCCAU
rnacentral:lncRNA from 1 species